AUGGAUCCACUCCAAAAAUCCAAGGCUUUGUGCCUGAAGCGCAAGCCCGAUGAUGAUUGCUUGGCGAAAAACAGCAAGUCCCAUCGAACUGAAAUUGAUAAUGUAUCUUCUAAGGUGCACAGCGGAUCCUCAUCGGAUUUACCUGCUCACAGUUGUCACAGCCAGCCUAAUCUUGCUAAUGAUUGUGUUAAUUACCUGAAAAGUGGGGCGCCAAGUCGUGUCAUGUUUUACAAACAAGGUUCAUGGUGUGACUUUCCUGACAAGAUAGUCACAUCCAUUGUUGAUGCAUUCGGAGGUGACAAAUCUAGUAUCGUUGUUGUGAUGGAUGACCAGCCUCUCCUUAUUGAUUUCUUAUCAAUGACCUUGGUGAACCUAAAAACGAGGAAACAGCGAUCUGUUGCAUGGCUUGAUGGGACUAACAACUGGUCUUUUCCGUCUUCAUUCUUUGAUGAGGAAGUUGAAGAAUCCGCAAAGUUGAGCAGAAAUGUUGUUGAAGGUGCUGCACUAGGUUCCAUUAGGGGUAAUGGUAUGAAGUCUCCAUCUGAUGUGGCGAAACAAGCUAUGCUUGAAGCCAGCCCUCCAGUUAUACAGAGUUCUUGUGCUUUAGAUAUAUUGCGUAAGAAGAUUGUACAUGUUGAAAGAGGUAGCGAAAGCUUUCUGUUUGUUCAGAACCUUUUCCUCUCUGGUAUGGGUUCAUUUGCAGUGCCUAACAACAUUCUUCAUAUUCAUCGGUACUCUCCAAAGGAUAUCCCUGCACAGCGUAGACUUGAAGCUUUUGAGAAACAGUUGAGGUUGACAGGACAGAAGUCUGGCAAUGCAAAUGCAAAAUAUGGAUGGCUUGGAUCCAGAAAGCAAGACAUUGUCAGUGUUAUGGUUAAUGGUUUUGUUAGCACUGGAGAAAACACUCGUGAUACGGCAAUGGCCGAUGGCAUUUAUCUGUCACCUGAAAACCGCGCCUUUACAAGUGUUGGUCUUUGUGAUGUUGACGAAAAAGGGGUACAGUAUAUGUUGUUGUGCCGAGCCAUAUUGGGCAAAACAGGAGUUAUCAAACCAGGUUCACAGGAGGAGUUUCUAGGCAUAUAUGAUUCUAGCGUUGAUGAUUGCUCAAACCCAAACUAUUAUGUGAUCUGGCCAUCACAUCGAAGCACUAAUAUUUCUCUGGAAUACCUUAUAAGUUUCAGGCUUGCUCCAAAAGUUCAAGAGUAUGUUCGUAGCUUGAAGGGUUUAUGGUUGCGCCCACCUCCAGGUGAAGUGAAAGUGGAUCCUUCUAUUCUUCAACCAGUACUAUGUCAAACUGAUGAAGGGCCAACGUCUCCAUGGAUUUCAUUCAGAUUGCUCUUUGAGACAAUACAAGACAGUAUAUCGUCUUUAGCGAGGGAAUUGCUCUAUCGCCACUAUGAGGAGUUGAAGGAAAAUAAGAUUACUCGUGAUGAAAUGGUCAAGAAAAUGAUGAUAAUAGUUGGAGAGAAAUUACUUCUGGAUUCCUUGACAAAACUUAAAUACAGUCCAUCAUUAUGGUACAACUCUCCUGCAAAAAGUACCAGUUAUUCUGCAGCACUGGGAUCUGUCGGCAUUGGGACAGGUACAGAUGUUGUAUCUGCAACUCCUAGUCACGAUGGUCCAGCACCAAGUGUACUUCGUGAGAAUUGUGAACCUGUGAAUUCCACACGUGGUGGUUCUCCUGCGAAUGCGGUCCGAGGACAGCAUUCGCCCACCCCAAGUAUGUGUUCGGACAGCUCUUCAUCUCGCUGUACUAACAGCCAGUAUCCUUUUGAACCGAUGGUGGCACAUCUAGGUCAUGAUGCCCUUGUGAGGAGUGCUUUGCUCAGUGUUAAUGGCUUGGAUUCUGCUGGACCAAGCAUGGAGUAUAAUGGUCAUGAUACCCUCGCACGAAGCAGUUCUGAAGGCCAUGAUUCUCAUGUAUCAGGACCAACACUUGGAAACUCUGCAUCUGUCAGUAUGGAAGGCCUGCAUUCUGCUGCACCAGGUAGGACACCUGAAGCCCAUGACGCUCUUGCAUCCAAUAGGGCACAUGAAAGUGUUGCUGCAACUCCAGGCGUAUCAUGUCAAGCCUAUACUCCAAGUAGGAUUCCUCAGUUCUCCGCGGCGACAAGUAUGGCGCCUGAGCUCCGUGCACCAAGAAGUAUGGCACCGCAUCUCCGUGCGCCAAGAAGUAUGGCGCCUGAGCUCUGUGCACCAAGAAGUAUGGCACCACAUCUCUGUGCACCAAGAAGUAUGGCACCUCAUCUCCGUGCGCCAAGAAGUAUGGCACCUGAGCUCUGUGCACCAAGAAGUAUGGCACCGCUUCUCCGUGCGCCAAAAAGCAUGGCGCCUCACCUCCAUGCGCGAAGCAAGGUGGCUAAAGUUCCUGCAAAAAAGACCAUGCCUGAAGCCAACUAUUCCAGUGCAGCAACUGUGGUUCCUGUGAUCUGUAAACCUCCGUCAUCGAGUGUUUUACCAAAAGAGAAGAGUCAUCCUACAUCAAGCAAGGAGUGCAUGACAUCAGAAAAUGUGGCUCCACAGAAUCUAGCAGCGCAGUGUGGAUCAAACAAGAGCCUCCCCAGGAUAGGCGUUGACGGUAGCAGCACCGCCGCGUAUUCAGCAGAUAGACUCGUCACCCUGUCAGCGGAGGGCGAGAAAUGCCUGUAA
rnacentral:rRNA from 1 species